rnacentral:lncRNA from 1 species
GUACAGUAUGAUAUCUGGGCCGAGCGGUUAAAGAUAUAUCUUAUUCAAGAUAUNAAAUAAUCAAGAAUAUCUAUUUAAAGAUAUUUAGUAACUAACCAGAUUUUCAGGUAAGUCUGUUUAUAUUAUAUUCUGUUUAUAUUUUAUUCUGUUUAUAUUUUGUUGGGCUUAUAUCAGUUUAAGGUCCAUAAGACAAAUUAUAAAUAG